ensembl:lncRNA
UGAUUCUGAACAAGUACUCCAGUUUAAAUCACUUACUCAGUGAUUCGCUUGUGGUUCUUUAUUUUAGACUGUAGUGUGGAAUAUGGAGUCAUACGUACUAUUUUGAUACUUUAAUGGCAUUUUGUGUUAUUAAAUUCUUCUAAUUCUAGUUGUUGUUCAUUUGUAAUUAAAUGAAAAACUCUGACCAGUUUGUUCUUUGAUAUGAAUUCUUCUUUAUUCCCAAAAAUAUCAUAUGAAUUGUGAACAGUGUAAAAUGAGUUUUGUUGAAUUUUGAGAUUUUGUGCUUUAAAAGAAAGAUUUUACUUCACCUAUAUAAUUGUUUUAUUCAUUCCAGCAAUGUUAUGUAUAUAUUUUCAAACAGUGCCGCCUAGAGUUCAGAUUCCUAGAGUCAUGAUUUUUAUUAAAGUGAACCCAUCACAUUGCCUAAUACAAACUCAGUUGAUUCUAGUUGAUGUUAAUAUUUAUUCAGUGUCAACUGGAAGGAAAUCCUUCAAGAUUUUGACUGGGUGUUUGGGCUGAGAAAUUGUGCUUUAGACUUCCAUCUAGCGCUGCAGGACAAAGACAGUUAAACUGACUGCAGUUUAAAUCGGAGAGUUGAUUGUCCCUUGUUUAUUCCUUUUUCAGUGUAUGUCUAGCUGUGCAUCAUGGAAAGAAAUAUGUCAAAACUUGAGGCAUCAGCCAAGUACAGGCAUGAAAAUGACUGGAAACACAAGCAAACAAACAAGCAAAGGACAAAGGACCAAAUUCAGAGAAGCAGCUGUUUGGACUCUCAUUCUGACGGCACCCAUUCACUACAGAGGAUCCAUCUGUUUGGUUGAAGAAACAAGCUCACAUAUAUCUUGGAUUACCUGAGGAUGAGUAAAGUUUCAGCAAAUUUGGGGUAAACUAUUCUGCCUUAGAUGAAUAAAAGUAUUUUUUAAAGGAAAAAUAAAAUCUUA